AGCAGCCGCGGUAAUUCCAGCUCCAAUAGCGUAUAUUAAAGUUGUUGCAGUUAAAAAGCUCGUAGUUGAAUUUCGGGAUUAGUGGGUUGGUCGUGCCUCUGGUAUGUACUCGCCUUACUGAUUCCUCCUUCUUGAAGAACUGUAAUGCCAUUAAUUUGGUGUUGCAGGGAAACAGGACUGUUACUUUGAAAAAAUUAGAGUGUUUAAAGCAGGCCAUUGCCUGAAUACAUUAGCAUGGAAUAAUGAAAUAGGACGUUGAUCCUAUUUUGUUGGUUUCUAGGAUUGACGUAAUGAUUAAUGGGGAUAGUUGGGGGCAUUAGUAUUCAAUUGUCAGAGGUGAAAUUCUUGGAUUUAUUGAAGACUAACUACUGCGAAAGCAUUUGCCAAGGAUGUUUUCAUUAAUCAAGAACGAAAGUUAGGGGAUCGAAGACGAUCAGAUACCGUCGUAGUCUUAACCAUAAACUAUGCCGACUAGGGAUCGGAUGAUGUUAAUUUUUAAUGACUCAUUCGGCGUCCG
rnacentral:rRNA from 1 species